CUUCCUUCGGGAAGUGCAUAAAGUGGCGCACGGGUGAGUAACACGUAAGUAAUCUACCCUCGAGUGGGGAAUAACGUUCGGAAACGGACGCUAAUACCGCAUAACGCAGCGGCACCGCAAGGUGACAGUUGUUAAAGGAGCAAUCCGCUUGAGGAGGAGCUUGCGGCAGAUUAGCUAGUUGGUAGGGUAAUGGCUUACCAAGGCUACGAUCUGUAUCCGGUCUAAGAGGACGGUCGGACACACUGACACUGAAUAACGGGUCAGACUCCUACGGGAGGCAGCAGUCGGGAAUUUUGGGCAAUGGGCGAAAGCCUGACCCAGCAACGCCGCGUGAAGGAUGAAGUAUUUCGGUAUGUAAACUUCGAAAGAAUAGGAAGAAUAAAUGACGGUACUAUUUAUAAGCUCCGGCUAACUACGUG
rnacentral:rRNA from 1 species